CUGUGGUGAUGACUUUCUUAGGACAUCUUUGGGUUUAAUUGUGAGAAGAAAGUGUAAUUUCUGGUCAGC
rnacentral:snoRNA from 1 species